rnacentral:lncRNA from 1 species
GCUGAAAGAACAGCUCUACCAAGAAAUCAUCCACUAUUUUGACAAAGGCAAGAUGUGGGAGGAGGCCAUCGCCCUGGGCAAGGAACUUGCAGAGCAGUACGAAACGGAGUUGUUUGAUUAUGAGCAGCUGAGUGAGUUGCUGAAAAAACAGGCACAAUUUUAUGAGAACAUCGUCAAGGUGAUAAGACCCAAGCCGGACUAUUUUGCUGUUGGCUACUAUGGGCAAGGCUUCCCUUCAUUCCUUCGGGGAAAAGUGUUCAUUUACCGAGGAAAAGAAUACGAGCGACGGGAAGAUUUUGAAGCUCGGCUAUUAACUCAGUUUCCAAAUGCUGAGAA